GGACCAGGCCUGGACCCCGCGUGGGGCGGUGAGAGGGCAGGGGAUGCCCAGACAAGUCCGCAAUGGGCGCAGAGGAAACGAGACCAGCCGAGGUGGGGAGAAGCUGGGAAAGGACGCCGGGACGCCGCCCAGCGGGGGCGCUCUAAGUCCCGGAGGACCCCCACUUGCGGGAGCGCCCCUGGCGUCCGGGGUUUCAAAGCAAAGCCCUCUCCUCCCGGGAGGCCCCAGUCCUUCGCAAGGAGAGCGGCUUAGGCGGAAAAGAAAGUGAAAGUGGCGGCCCCGGAAGUGGGGCGGGACUGGGAGGGGGACCGGAAAAGUUGUCGCCUCAUCCGGGACCCCCACUGCCAGUGGUCCCGGCGCUCCUGUUCGAGGCGACCCCACCCCGUCCUCUCGAGCUGAUCGCCGAUCCCCGGACACCCCCAGGCUCACCCUGCCGGUCGCGCUGCAGUGCCGCCCCAGGGGGCGGGGCCGUUGCCUGCAGCCAACGACAUGAUGAAGUCUCACGCCAUCCUGCACUAUUUCACCUAGGAGGUGAAUCAUCCCUUUGUCCACUGUAUCCAGGUUGUAGACGUUAACCACCAUUAAUCAUCAACAUCGUCUGCUCCUGACAUCCAACCAUGGACACUGUCACAGCUUCAUGGUGUUGGAUCACCCGAGGGAGAUGAUUCUCCUUCUGACGCAUCGUCAGGUUAGUAGUAACCUAACGCUAGAUCACAAUGCCCAUGUCAUUCAUUUGCUUUCAUCUCAUCAUGCAGGUAUUUCAUUAUCUCCCAUCACCACAAGAAGGGUGAGUACGGUACAAUAGGACAUUUUGAGGGAGAGACCGCAUUCACAUAACUUUUAUUACAACAUACUGUUAUAACUGUUCUAUUGUUAUUGUUAUUUAUUCUUACUGUGCCUAAUUUACAAAUUAGGCUUUAUUGUAGGUAUGUAUAUAUAGGAAAAAAACAUGAUAUAUACCGGAUUCCGUACUAUCUGAGGUUUCAGGCAUGCACUGGGGGUCUUGGAAUGUAUCCCACUGGAUAAGUGGACCACUGUAUAUUGAAAAACAAGACCACACAUUAUUUUCAUCUCCUCCCAUCAAGAGAAAGAAUCUAUUUGCCUGCAUCCUGAAUUUGACAUGGAAUUUGACAUGCUUUGACACUAGUGCAGUUUGAACAUUGGAAUUUGUCCUCUCUUGUUGCUUUCUGAAACCCGGAGACCACCGUGGGAAGGAGUGGACUAUGCUUAUUGGAGGAUGAGGCCACGUGGAGCAGAGAAAAGCCUUCCUGCGAAAAUAGACACUCAAGCUGCUUGCUGCCUGCAGCUGCAGGAGUGACCCAGCUGAAUCGAGCCCGAAUUGCCAACCCGGAGAAUCAUAAACUACUGUUUGGGGUUUGUAAUGCAGCAGACUGACAUGACCUCGUUAAUGGUGGAGAAUAUUUUUCCUCCCUUCACUGGUGGCAAGUUUUCCUUAGUCACAGUAAUCAACACUAUCUACCAGACAAAGUCCGAAUCUGAAAGACUUAGCACACGAAGCUUAAUUUCUUGCUCAGUGAAAUCCAAGGUGGAUCUGGUGGUUCUCCUCUGGCUUGUAGCUAAGGGAACUCAUGGCCUCAAAGUGGCUGUGGCAGGGGAAGAGCUGGCAGGCUCACCAGCUCUCCAUUGCUUCAGCCUGUUAUUCUUACACACAGCACAUUGGUCAGAACUAGUCAUGUGGCUGUAAGGGAAGCUAGACAAUGUAGGGGAGCACCUGAAAUAUUGGGAUGCCUGUCUUUGCCACAACGAACUUCCACAAGUAUAAUUAAUUAUGUCAUUUGCAUGGUUCUCUGUUUAACAUCUGUCUCCUUUAUGAGACUGUGAAUUCUUGAGGGCAGGGGCACAUCCGUCUUGCAUGGCACCUGGCCUGUAGUAGACAUUCAGCGGUGGUUGUGGAAUUGCUAAAUGAAUGAAUAAUCUGGCAGGUCACAAUAGGAUGUUUUGUGUUCAGCCUCCAGUGGCAGAGACAAUCCUCAAGUAAGUUUCUAACAGUCAUUCCCUUUCAGUAAUAUACAUGUACUAAUUUGAUAGUGUAAAAUUCAUAUACAAUGAUGAUUAAAUGAAGACAGAACACGAAAGUCCUCACUAAUUAGAGUCAGAGUGUGGUGACGUCCACUAUUUGAUGAGUGGAUAUUACAUUUUAUUAUUAUUAUUAUUUUGAGAAAGAGUCUUGCUUUGUCACUCAGGCUGGAGUGCAGUGGUGCAAUCUUGGCUCACUGCAAUCUCCACCUCCUGGGUUCAAGUGAUUUUCCUGCCUAAGCUUCCCAAGUAGCUGGCAUUACAGGCACACACCACCAUGCCUGGCUAUUUUUGGUAUUUUUAGCAGAGAUGGGGUUUCACCCUGUUGGCCAGACUGGUCUUGAACUCCUGACCUCAAGUGAUCUGCCAGCCUCGGCCUCCCAAAGUGCUGGGAUGACAGGCAUGAGCCACCGUGCCCAUCUGAUAUUACAUUUUUUAAUGGGCACUUUUCAUGUGGCUGCAUCUGUGCAGCCUUGUCAAAAGUUCUGCUUCAAGGAGAAACCAGAUGAGUCUUUUUCUCUGUUGUGAGGUCUUGGAUGAGUCUUCUACUUUCUCCAAAGCUCAUUUGUCUUAUCUGUAAAAUGACAGGAGCAUCUACAUCACUGGAUUGUUGUGAGGCGUAAAUGAGUCUCUUUGCGUAAUGGAGUAAAGCGUUGGCACGGCAUCUACCCUUGGCAGCCCUUCCGUUCCCCUUGCUCCACUGUAGGUAUCAGGCCAACUUUCAGCUUGGAGGCAGCUGGGACAGGGUCUGUUGGAAGCUGGGAGGGGCAAGGUAGAGAGGUCAGGGGCUGCUCCAUGAGACCCUAGACACAACUAGGCUCUGUUCUGGACAAUGCUGGGUGCACAGAGAUGAGACUGACUUGUCCCUCUCUGCAUCGGUUAGCUUUCACUGUAAAACAAAAUAGUCUCAAAUUAGUGGCUUAAAACCACAAUGACAGGCCAGGUGCGGUGGCUCACACCUGUAAACCCAGCACUUUGGGAGGCCGAGGUAGGCAGAUCACCUGAGGUCAGGAGUUUGAGACCAGCCUGGCCAACAUGGUGAAACCCCGUCUAUACUAAAAACAUAAAAAUUAGCUGGGCAUAGUGGUGCCUGCCUGUAAUCCCAGCUACUCAGGAGGCUGAGGCAGAAGAAUCGUUUUAACUUGGGAGGAGGAGGUUGCAGUGAGCAGAGAUUGCGACACUGUACUCCAGCCUGGGUGACACAGCAAGACUGUCUCAAAACAAACAAACAACAAAAUAAACAAACAAAAAAUCCA